AAGGCCCGGUUUCAGUACGAGGUGCUGAGGAAUAGCUCUGCUGGCAGCAUCCAACUCACCUAGGAGUUAUACAGGGCUUCUGCUACCAGAAGAGUGUUUGUCGUACCUUCAUUACCAGAUAUGAGCAACCGUAGCUGAUGCAGGAUGGUUGUUUUCCCAUCUUUAGGAUACUUGUUCUUCUACCUGAAAAUGGUCUUUAUUGUUGUUUCAUAGUGUAUGGGAAGUGCUGAGUCACAGCCUGAACCUCUGAUGGAUCGCCUGAGGUGAGCCAUGAGUCAGUUAUGGAGCACAGCUGAAGGCAAUUCACCUGUGCUGCAGGAAGGGGUGGAGCCUGGCUGCACCCCUCCUAGACCUAUUGAAGAGCUGGCUGCCAGUGGGGAAGGAUCUCUUCUGGAGAUCUGCUCUGCUGGUGUUUUGUGAGUGAGCCCAGGAUAGGGCCCUAAUCCAAGCCAGUGCCCAUGUGACAGUCACCCUUUUGUUGCUAGCCAGCAGGAAAGGAAACCAGAGCCUGCAGGUGAGCUCCAGCCUUGUUGGGGUUGUCAAUGCCCCCAGUUCCUGCCUUUGUUGAGGGCUUCAGGGGUCCACAUGAGAGGAAAAGCGUAGCUUCUUCCUGCCCAGCAUCUGAGGCAUACACCAAACUGCAUCUUGCCACCUCCCUGAUGUGAAAGUUCAGCCUGCUCCAGCAGCAGUCAGCAGGGAGCCUGGAUAAUAGUUGGACACGGCACGUGGCAGCACGGCAGAGGACCUCCAACAGCCCUUCUGAUAUAUUUUCAGAAAGUUUCCCAGUGAAGCAGAUACGCAGAAACUGAUGAAAAUUUGAUUUCACCUACAGCAGGGGAAAGAGAGGAGGAAGUUGGGUUAAUGUGUGUCUGAGACAGAGCCUCCAGGAAGCAGUGCCUGUGCCAUGUUUACCUUUCACAUCUGAUGUCGCCUUUUGCUAAUUGCCAGGCUGUUCGUUCACAUCAGGAGGCGGUUCAAAGUUCAGGAAAUCAGCGUGCAUUUGGGGGCCAGAAUCUGAACCCAGAAGAACAGUCUUGUGUUUUCCUUACCACUGAAAAAUGUAAAUGUCGUUGGUGCAAUGUUCACUCAUUAUUGCUGAAUCAAAGAGCAGUCUCAGCUCCGGCUGGAAUCUCGUGGAAAAAGAUACAGAUCUCUCUUCCCAUUUCAGACACGUCUUGCUGUGUGAAUGGGCGAUACUUACUGGAUACUUAGGUCUCACUUCCACAUUGGUGAGCUGCCCUAUUUUAGGACUGUUUGUAUUAGGCAAUAGGCUAGUAGAAUCAUUAACAUGCAAAUAGAAUUAUUUACCUUAAGAAUGAAACACAUGAUUAAAAUGGAAAUGGCAGAGGUUUAUAGAGGGGGUGAAACCACAUGACAUAGGUGAGACACUGUGGUUUGAGGCAGAUGAGCUUCGCUAGGGAUGAAUGACAGGGCUGAGGCGCACAUGUAAAAGUAAUCAGAACUCCCGUGCGAAGUGACACUGAUAUAUUCUGAAUGUCACAUUACACUGCAUAGUGCUGUGCUCACUCCAAAAAUGCUCUUUAAUUAUAGUUGCUCCAGCCUUACAAUCACAAAAGUCAAACAGAGUGGAGGUGGGCACCAUUUAGGCAACGUAAAUCAAUUUGCUGAAGGUGCUUUGUAAACAGGAUCUUCACCUCCCAGAUAAUUUAGUAAGACUUACCUGUGACUUUUAACUACACAUAGGUCUAUUUAAGGCUAACAGUUAGCCAAAGCUCAGUUUCUGAAUUAAGCGGGACAGUUCAACCCAUGGUUGGUCAACUCAUGCAGAAUGCAACUGUGCCUCUGUUGGCUCUAUAAACUGCUGGCCUGGCUGUUUAGGCAAAAAAAGUCUUUCCUUGAGCUCUUUCCUCCCAGUUUUCUUCUCAGGAGUUGGCCCAGAAUAAAGUACCUUAAAAAAACAAAACAAAACAAAAA